rnacentral:rRNA from 1 species
AAACUAACAAGGAUCCCCUUAGUAACGGCGAGUGAACCGGGAAGAGCUCAAAUUUGAAAUCUGGCGUGCUCAGUGCGUCCGAGUUGUAAUCUAUAGAGUCGUUUUCCGUGCCGGACUGUGUCCAAGUCCCUUGGAACAGGGUAUCAAAGAGGGUGAUAAUCCCGUACUUGACACAAUGACCGGUGCUCUGUGAUACGUCUUCUACGAGUCGAGUUGUUUGGGAAUGCAGCUCAAAAUGGGUGGUGAGUUCCAUCUAAAGCUAAAUAUUGGCGAGAGACCGAUAGCGAACAAGUACCGUGAGGGAAAGAUGAAAAGCACUUUGGAAAGAGAGUUAAACAGUACGUGAAAUUCUUAAAAGGGAAACGAUUGAAGUCAGUCGUGACUUAAAGGCUCAGCCGGUUCUGCCGGUGUAUUCCCCUCAGUCGGGUCAACAUCAGUUUGGUUCGUUGGAUAAGGGCAGUUGGAAGGUGCACCUCCGGUUUGUUAAAGCCAGCUUUCGCAUACUUCGGAAUGAGACUCAGGAAAUGCAACCCGCCUUUUAUUGGCCCGGGGUUUCGCCCCACCUUUUCGAAGCCUUAAGGUAAGGU